rnacentral:rRNA from 1 species
UGGGGAAUAUUGCACAAUGGGCGCAAGCCUGAUGCUGCCAUGCCGCGUGUAUGAAGAAGGCCUUCGGGUUGUAAAGUACUUUCAGCGAGGAGGAAGGCGGUAAGGUUAAUAACCUUAUCGAUUGACGUUACUCGCAGAAGAAGCACCGGCUAACUCCGUGCCAGCAGCCGCGGUAAUACGGAGGGUGCAAGCGUUAAUCGGAAUUACUGGGCGUAAAGCGCACGCAGGCGGUCUGUCAAGUCGGAUGUGAAAUCCCCGGGCUCAACCUGGGAACUGCAUUCGAAACUGGCAGGCUAGAGUCUUGUAGAGGGGGGUAGAAUUCCAGGUGUAGCGGUGAAAUGCGUAGAGAUCUGGAGGAAUACCGGUGGCGAAGGCGGCCCCCUGGACAAAGACUGACGCUCAGGUGCGAAAGCGUGGGGAGCAAACA